rnacentral:lncRNA from 1 species
AUGUCUGGUAAAGAGCAGCAGAUGCAAAGGCCCUGUGGUACAGGCGGGUGGUGGUUUAGUCGCUCAGUCAUGUCCGACUCUUGCAACCCCAUGGACCGUGGUCCACCAGGCUCCACAGGGCUCCUCUGUCCAAGGGAUUCUCCAAGAAAUAAUAUUAGAGUGGGUUGCCAUUUCCUUCUCAGAAGUACGGUUCAAUCCAGGAGACAUAAGGCAGCCCGUGUGGCUGGAGCAGAGAGAGAGCAAUGGGAAGGGUGGCGCAGACGAGCUCUCUCAUGGCUCAAGGAGGAGAAACCUAGAGAGGAGAGGACUUGAGACAACAGGGGCCAGGAGGCAUCUGUCACAAAAAUCUCUCCUUAUCCACUAGCAGGUGACUCUCCAAACUCAGGUGCAUGAGCAUGUAUGACAGGCCUUCUUUGCGCUCUGGCUUCAGGUGCUUCUGAAGGUUCUAGAUGAUGUGAAAGCAGAGAGGGCUGGACAUCCAGUGUGACCAUCUGUUUGGUCUUAGGGGAAAGACAGAAGGUGCCCCCAACCUCAUCUUCUGAAAGGAACAACACAGGACAGCAACUCAACACAGUUACCUCCUCGGUGCUCUUCAAGAACACAUUUAUCAGCAAAGCACACUUAAAAGGACUUUACAUUUCCUGCAAAAGCACCCGCUGCACUUAACCAAUGGAAUCCCCGCUCAAUGCACAUCAGGCAUAAUCGAGACUCUUGUCCCCUGACAUUGCAAGGCCCCUGAAACAGAGGGAAGUCACCCCAACACCUGCAGAGGCAGCUUACUCCCCAGGAGCUGCUCCAGGAAACCCCAAUCAUUUCUACUUCUGGGAACUGAGGAAAAUGGUAGUGGUCCUUUCAACACUGUUUACUUAGAUCUUGGCAGAUAGAAUUCCGAGCACAUCCCUCUGUCUCCAUUUAAUCACCAGAGAUGACGGUGGCCCUUGGGGCAGCGAUGGUGGAAUUAAACAUGGAAAUACUCAUCCUGACUUGAGAUAUCUCACCUGGACAGACGGGCAGCCUCCCCCCUCUUUCCACGGCAGAUGGGCUGUGUUGAGAGUUCAUAUCUAGUGUCUCCCGCUCCACACAUCAGAGUCAUUGGCCUCAUCAGCCCCCAAGCGCUGCACACAGCUGUCAACCAUCCUUCUCACUUUACACAUUUUCCAAAUGGUUCCAUCAUGAUUCACAAGGCUCAAGAAUCCAGAUGAAUUUCCCAGGCAGAUAAACCAGCUUCUGAUACGACCCACAUUGCCCUUUCCAGGGUACAACAUGACUUCUGUGGGCCUGAGGCACUUCUACCUUCACAGGCUCCUUUCCUCCAUAAAUACACAUUAUUUUCUUUGUUGUUGGUAUAAAGAUGAAUAUAU